rnacentral:rRNA from 1 species
CGCCGGACCCCCACUGCUAUCGGGAUGGGACUAAAGACAUGCUAGUCGUGGCGCUCAAGCCAUGGUGGAGGCGCGGCGUACAGCUCAGUAACACGUGGCUAACCUGCCUUAGGACAGGGAUAACUCCGGGAAACUGGAGCUAAUCCUGAUAGGUGUGGAUUCCUGGAAUGGGUCCUCGCUGAAAAGGCGUCUAAACCAUGCUUUUAGACGCCGCCUAAGGAUGGGGCCGCGGCCGAUCAGGUUGUUGGUGAGGUAACGGCUCACCAAGCCUAUAACCGGUACGGGCCGUGGGAGCGGUAGCCCGGAGAUGGACACUGAGACAAGGGUCCAGGCCCUACGGGGCGCAGCAGUCGCGAAACCUCCGCAAUACACGAAAGUGUGACGGGGCCAUCCCGAGUGCCAUCCGCUGAGGAUGGCUUUUCCCCAGUGUAGACAGCUGGGGGAAUAAGGAGAGGGCAAGUCGGGUGUCAGCCGCCGCGGUAAUACCCGCUCUCCGAGUGGUGGGGACGCUUAUUGGGCCUAAAGCAUCCGUAGCCGGCUGGAUAAGUCCCCUGUUAAAUCCAGCGAUUCAAUCGUUGGACUGCGGGGGAUACUGUCUAGCUAGGGGGCGGGAGGGGCCGACGGUAUUCCCGGGGUAGGGGUGAAAUCUUAUAAUCCCGGGAGGACCACCAGUGGCGAAGGCUGUCGGCUAGAACGCGCCCGACGGUGAGGGAUGGAAGCUGGGGGAGCGAACCGGAUUAGAUACCCGGGUAGUCCCAGCCGUAAACGAUGCAGGCUAGGUGUCAACGCGGCUACGAGCCGCGUUGGUGCCGCAAGGAAACCGUUAAGCCUGCCGCCUGGGGAGUACGGCCGCAAGGCUGAAACUUAAAGGAAUUGGCGGGGGAGCACCACAAGGGGUGAAGCUUGCGGUUUAAUUGGAUUCAACGCCGGA